UGGCGGGACGGGGUGGAGUAAUGUCUGGGAAACUGCCCGAUGGAGGGGGAUAACUACUGGAAACGGUAGCUAAUACCGCAUAACGUCGCAAGACCAAAGAGGGGGACCUUCGGGCCUCUUGCCAUCGGAUGUGCCCAGAUGGGAUUAGCUAGUAGGUGGGGUAACGGCUCACCUAGGCGACGAUCCCUAGCUGGUCUGAGAGGAUGACCGGCCACACUGGAACUGAGACACGGUCCAG
rnacentral:rRNA from 1 species